GCACCAUUAGCUCAGCAGGAUAGAGCGUUCGCCUCCUAAGCGAAAGGCCACUGGUUCGAAUCCAGUAUGGUGCGCCA
rnacentral:tRNA from 1 species